CAGUCGCCGCGGUAAUACGUAGGGUGCGAGCGUUAAUCGGAAUUACUGGGCGUAAAGCGUGCGCAGGCGGUUGUGUAAGACAGGUGUGAAAUCCCCGGGCUUAACCUGGGAACUGCGCUUGUGACUGCACAGCUAGAGUAUGGCAGAGGGGGGUGGAAUUCCACGUGUAGCAGUGAAAUGCGUAGAGAUGUGGAGGAACACCGAUGACGAAGGCAGCCCCCUGGGCCAAUACUGACGCUCAUGCACGAAAGCGUGGGGAGCAAACAGGAUUAGAUACCCGUGUAGUCCCUGUCUCUUAUAC
rnacentral:rRNA from 1 species